rnacentral:rRNA from 1 species
UACGUAGGCAGCGAGCGUUGUUCGGAGUUACUGGGCGUAAAGAGUAUGUAGGCGGUUGCGCAAGUUUGGUGUGAAAUCUCCCGGCUUAACUGGGAGGGUGCGCCGAAAACUGCGUGGCUAGAGUGCGGGAGAGGAGAGCGGAAUUCCUGGUGUAGCGGUGAAAUGCGUAGAUAUCAGGAGGAACACCGGUGGUGUAGACGGCUCUCUGGACCGCCACUGACGCUGAGAUACGAAAGCGUGGGGAGCAAAC